GCGCAGUGCAGCGCCACGGCCCCUCCCCGGAACCGGCUGCCGGCAGUCGGUGUGCAGGGGCUGCCGUGAGCCGAGGGAGGAGCGGAGGCAUCGCCGGGCUGCGGCUGCACGGAGGGAGAAGGCCGCGCUGAGGACGUGGUUGCCCGUCCCUCCCUUGGGGAUGCCGUCGACUGCAGCCGCCUCGCCUGUGCCUGGCCUGGCUCGCCUCGUGGCGUGGGGGCGAAAAGGGACAGGCGGCGGAGCGCUUACCGGCCGUGGACAGGAGCUGCCCUAAGGGAAGCUGGAAUGGCCAGAGAAAGGUGAAGAAGAAGAAGAAGAGAUGGAAGGCUCUCCGGCCGGCAGCUGCCUCCCGCUGCAGGCAAGAGAGCGCCUGCCUCGCCGGGCGGAGGACAGCCGAGCGACCGGAGUGACAGCAAAGGAAAGGCGGAGAGCAGGAGAAAGAAGCGUCUGCGCUGGCAAGCUCUCCCGGCAGCGCCGAGAGCCAGAGCUGCGGUGAGUCCUGGGCCCGCGGGGCCCCAUCGCCUCUCCUCUGCGUCGCGGGCCCUCCUCUGCCCCCCUCGCUUUCCCACCCCGCCGUGGUUUGCUUUCUGCUCCCCGCUAUGUUCUUUUUCCAUCUCGCUCUGACGGGCUGCCUGUCCCCACCUUUUUCAGGUCCUCGCUCUCUCUGCCCCGUAGCCCGUGGCUAUUGUUUCCUUCUCUCUCUCCCUGUCUCUCUGUCCGGCCCCCAGCCACUGUUUCUGCAUUCCUCCCCCUCGGUCCUGUAGCCCGUCGGUAUUUCUGCCGUCUCUGGCGCUCUCUGUGCGGCUCCUCGUUCCUGUUGUUCGAGGUCUUCCUUCUCGGCUCCGUAGCGAGUCGUCGUGAGUCUCUCUCUUUCUCCGUCCCUCUCGAGCCUCUUCCCUGCCCCUCGUUUUGAAGGCCCGCCUCUCUGUCCCGGCACCCGUCGCUACGGUUCCUUUUCUCCGUCUCGCUCCCCGUCCCUGUUUUUCUAAAGUCUCCCCUCUCUGCCUCCUAGCCCGUCGGUACCUUUUUCUUUCCCCGUCGCGGUUCGUCUGGCUCCCUGUCCCUCUUUCUUUCUUUCUUCCUUCCUCCCUGUCUG